rnacentral:rRNA from 1 species
UGGGAUACCUAAAGUUCCCAUAGCAAACUGCUCAGUAACACAUGAUCAACUUACCCUAUAGAGAAAAACAACCUCGGGAAACUGAGGAUAAUGUUUCAUAAUUGAAUUGGCUUGGAAAAGUUUUUCAAUGAAAGGGAUAAAAAAAAUGGUUUUUAUCUGCUAUAGGAUAGGAUCGUGUUCGAUUAUGGUUGUUGGUGAGAUAAUGGCUCACCAAGCCGAUAAUCGAUAGGGGCCGUGAGAGCGGGAGCCCCGAGAUGGGUACUGAGACAACGACCCAGGCCUUACGAGGCGCAGCAGGCGCGGAACCUCCGCAAUACACGAAAGUGUGACGGGGUUACCCAAAGUGUUCAAUAGAACUGUGGUAGGUGAGUAAUGUCCCCUACUAGAAAGGAGAGGGCAAGGCUGGUGCCAGCCGCCGCGGUAAAACCAGCUCUUCAAGUGGUCGGGAUAAUUAUUGGGCUUAAAGUGUCCGUAGCCGGUUUAGUAAGUUCCUGGUAAAAUCGGGUAGCUUAACUAUCUGCAUGCUAGGAAUACUGCUAUACUAGAGGGCGGGAGAGGUCUGAGGUACUACAGGGGUAGGGGUGAAAUCUUAUAAUCCUUGUAGGACCACCA